AUCACCAAACAGCAGAGAUGACAAUCAUCAACACAGAGAGGUCCAAAGGCAUUUGUCUGAUGAGGGAAAAUGGGAAAUUUACUCGGGAGAUCCAGCAGUAUUUUGCAAGCCUGGACAUCAACAUAGCUCUGAGCGCUCUGAGGAAAACACUUCUGGGAGAAACCAUCGCGCCGCACCGGGCCCUGCAAACUGAAACUUGAUAUCCUGGAUGCUAUUGAUGAGCAGACAAAGGCUAAUGACACGCUGAUUGCUAAGGAUAUGCAGCACAUCAUUUUGGAGUUCUCCUCGGCCUGAGCAGUAUAUGCAGGGCCCGAAGGAAGCUGGGAUGGGAUUUUAAGAAGACAGGCUUCACCUUGAAGACAAGAGAUGAAAACCAAGAAGAAAAACAAAUACAAUAGCUACAAGGGAGCGAUUGUGAGGAGUUGUUGCAGGAUGAGUCCACAGAAGAUGAACAACAAUCUGUUGACAACAGUGCCACAAAGCUUCACCCAGAAGCAAACCAUAGAAGAAGGGGGGCAUCCAUGUUUUACAAGCCUAGACGACCUCGCAACACAGGCUUCCGUAGGGAUUGCAAUCCGUGCAAUGCAGAGAUCCUGACCAUACCACCACAAUAACGCAGAGAUCAGUGACCUGAAGAGCCGUCCGAGUGGCACAGAGCAGCACGUUGUAUUCCUGAUGUCUUUUCUGGAGGAGAUGAGCUCUUCGCUGGAAGCCCAGACACAGACUCUUCAGGAGCUCCAGGAUCAGUGCAGGCUGCAACAAACCCCACCAGCACCGCAGCAGCUGGAUGCCAGUACUCUCACCAGGCGGAAACGGUUCCUGGUCAAAACAGAAGAACCACCCCAGCCUUUAGAGCCAGCAGCAUCCAAGCCUGGUACACCAGCUAGCUUCAUCGCUACUACACCAGUGCCAGGUACCACGCUAGCCCAAGUUCCCAAACCAGAUAAGUGUUUUGCAAUCUUUCUGUCCUCCAGGCUACACAGCUUCUAAAGAACUGCCCAGCUUCAAUAAAUGAUGUUUCAAGAUAUUAUAUUUAAAUCAACUUACA